UGGCUCUCCUAUCGAUGAAGAACGCAGCGAAAUGCGAUAAGUAAUGUGAAUUGCAGAAUUCAGUGAAUCAUCGAAUCUUUGAACGCACCUUGCGCCCUUUGGUAUUCCGAAGGGCAUGCCUGUUUGAGUGUCAUUAAAUUAUCAACCUUUGCUCCUUGUGAGCUAAGGCUUGGAUGUGAGGGUUUGCUGGCUUCCUUCAGUGGAUGGUCUGCUCCCUUUAAAUGCAUUAGUAGGAUCCUUAGUGGACGGUAUUGAUAGUUAUCCAUGCCAUUUGACACUUUGAAGGAAUCUGCUUAUAACCGUCUUCGGACAAUCUUGACAAUUUGACCUCAAAUCAGGUAGGACUACCCGCUGA
rnacentral:misc_RNA from 1 species